rnacentral:lncRNA from 12 species
AUAGUGCACGCGCGUGAUGAAAAAGAAAUUUAAACAGGACAAAAGGACGCACAUGCAGGCAGGUAUUUGAAUAUAUCCUCCUGGGUGUCUUCUCUAAAUCUAGAGUGUCUGAGCUCUGGGACCUCUGGGCUCAGAAAGACCCUCACGGGUGCAUGUGGCCACAGACCCGGGAGGAUCAUUUCCUGGACCAUCCGCGUGCACCGACAGUUCGUCCCUGGGCCGUUUCUCGCCGCCUCUGCCCAGCAGCAGUUGGCCUCGCGGUUCCCGGGAGAGCCGCCACUUUUCCUGCCACGUUCGUUGGAGUCGAGCGUGGGCAGCCUCUGUAACUUCCCAGGUGAGGGCUCCUGGUAUCAAACGCUCAUUACUGACUACCCUGACGGCUAAUGUGGGACGAGGCAUAUGGGGAAGAGGAGGGCAGCUCCAUUUUUCUUUUUUCAUUUCCUCCGAUUCCAUUCACAUUGAACAUUACGAAUGGUUCAUAAAAUGCAGUUUGCGACUGUGAUAUGGGGACGGAUUGGUCCCAAUAAAUGUCACAAGAUAUAAGACAAAAAAGUACCCUGCAACUGUCUGCGGGACUGUAUUGCUCUCGGUUUUGGCUACGGAUGCACUAAAAUAACCUGUUAACACACACCAAAGUGCAUCCCUAUAAUAACCUCCUCAAUCAUUUAUUAAAAGUCGUGUCAAGCAGGCCGGUAUAAUUCAUUUCUAUGCAAAUACAUCAAUGUCAGGCCAUUAGUGUAUUGCUCAGGUUUUUAUUAAAGUGCAUUCUUUUUAAUUCAGCCCCGUAAAAUACGAGCCCCAUUGCUCAAGAAUUAUAGCAACUAUUAGAGUAACAUAUGGGCAACAUGCACUCAGAAAAUAAAAACCAACAGAUAAAGUGGCAGGGUCACAUCGCAGGAGCAAACACUUAACAAAAUGGCAGUGGAGGUAAUAGAUUUUUUUCUCCCAGGGCUUUUGGCGAAAGGGUGUCAUGGGCACCCGCGCCUCGGGAGAGGCAAAAGGCUCGAUCUCCCUGGGUGCUGUGCGAACCCCGGAACCAGCCCCGGGUAGAUCCCCUCAGAGUUGGGAGAGGGAAGGCUUCCAGAGCUCUGCUCCCUACCUGGCCUCCCUCUUUUGGCUCCAGGAUCUCAACACUCACCCGAAAGAAAUGCCAAGCUUCCACUCUGCGGAAACCUAGGUGCCCCGUGCAGGCUCCACCCCGCACCCCCGCCGCGUGUUCCUGGGUAGAACGCUUUGCCGAAAAUUUUGCUAAAGCAGGGAAAGCGCGGGGCGGAUGCGGAGGGCGCAGGGCGCAGGGCGCAGGGCGCGGGCCGUGGUGGUGCCCGGCGGCCCCUGAGCCAACGCCCGGCGUGCGGUGGGGAAGGGGCAAGGUGGGCCCACACGGAUCCGAAACAGCAGCUGACCAAUCAAUCCACUGGAGGAGCCAGCAGCAUCGAAUUCAGUUUUUUUUUUUUUUAAUUGCCAUUGGGACCAUCAAUUUCCAGAGGCCUAAAAAUAAACCUCAAAUCCAAAACACAACACAGCCCUCACAGAAAAAUAGAAAAGGGGGGGAAAAAAACUAAGAACAAUCUCCCGGAUUUAAUGAGAGAGUCGCCCACAUCCUCAUCACCCCAGCAUGGUAAUUGAGCAGAUCUAUUAACUUGUUACACUAGAUUUGUUUAAAGAGACUAUUACACAGUCAUUUAAUCAAUUUGUUACACUGGAGGUCCUGACUUAUGAGACACUUGCCUUAUGAUUCCUUAAUGACUGAAUUAAUUUGUUUUAAUAAAACCAACAUUGUGUACA